GGCUCUUUGGUGUUAGAAAUAAAGAGUCGGACCUGCCCGGUGAAUGUAAUAAACGGUUGCAACGAGAGUUGUACGAAGGUAGCGUGAUAAGUUGUCUUUUAAUUGGAGAAUGGAAUGAAGGGUUUGACGUGAAAUUUCUUUUUUUAUAAAAGGUACUAAAGUUUCCUUCUAAGUGAAAAGGCUUAGGUUUUUGAAAAAGACGAGAAGACCCUGUCGAACUUGAUUAAGAAUUGCUGGUUAUAGGUAUUUGAAAGUUUUAUUGGGGCAAUAUUAACUUAAAAAACAGUUAAUUUAUUCAUAGAUCCUUUUUGAAAGAAAGAGG
rnacentral:rRNA from 1 species